AGGCUUUCAGUUCCCACUGCUAUUCAAUUAUAUGAUCUUCAAGACAGAUUAGGGCUUAAUCAACCUAGCAAAGUUGUUGAUUGGUUGCUUAAUGCAGCUAAGCAUGAAAUUGAUGAAUUGCCUCCAUUGCAAAUUCCUCCAGGGAGUUUGAAUCCAAAUCUUUAUCCUAUGUUAGGAAUUGGAGCUUCUCAAAACCUCCGUUGCAAAUUCCUCCAGGGAGUUUGAACCCGAAUCUUUAUCCUAUGUUUGGAAUUGGAGCUUCUCAAAUUAAUAAAGAGGUUGGUAUUAAGAACACGAGUGGUACCAGUAUCAAUUGGGAUGUUCCAUUAGAACCA
rnacentral:lncRNA from 1 species